GACGUAGGGCGCGAGCGUUGUCCGGAUUUAUUGGGCGUAAAGAGCUCGUAGGCGGCUUGUUGCGUCGACCGUGAAAACCCGUGGCUCAACUGCGGGCUUGCGGUCGAUACGGGCAUCACUGGAGUUCGGCAGGGGAGACUGGAAUUCCUGGUGUAGCGGUGAAAUGCGCAGAUAUCAGGAGGAACACCGGUGGCGAAGGCGGGUCUCUGGGCCGAUACUGACGCUGAGGAGCGAAAGCGUGGGGAGCGAACAGG
rnacentral:rRNA from 1 species